rnacentral:lncRNA from 1 species
UGGUGAAGAGUCCUACUUAGACUAGGACUCUGUGGGAAAGUCUCACUGGGACUGGGACUCUACCAUUUAUGAAGAAUUAAUUAGUAAUUAGAUUACUAAUUAACUUAGUUUGAUUGAAUAAAGAGUUUUAAAAUAAGUCUAAUUGAAUUAGAUUCAGUUCAACUUAGAUUGGGAUUGAUAUGAUCAAAUCCGAUUACAAG